rnacentral:rRNA from 1 species
AUUGAACGCUGGCGGCAGGCUUAACACAUGCAAGUCGAACGAGUGGCGGACGGGUGAGUAAUGCUUGGGAAACUGGCUGAUGGAGGGGGAUAACUACGGGAAACUGUAGCUAAUACCGCGUACCAUAGGAUGAGCCCAAGUGGGAUUAGGUAGUUGGUGGGGUAAAGGCUCACCAAGCCGACGAUCCCUAGCUGGUCUGAGAGGAUGACCAGCCACACUGGGACUGAGACACGGUCCAGACUCCUACGGGAGGCAGCAGUGGGGAAUAUUGCGCAAUGGGGGCAACCCUGAUGCAGCCAUGCCGCGUGAAUGAAGAAGGCCUUCGGGUUGUAAAGUUCUUUCAGCAGCGAGGCGUUACCUGCAGAAGAAGCACCGGCUAACUCCGUGCCAGCAGCCGCGGUAAUAC